rnacentral:rRNA from 1 species
UACGUAGGGGGCCAGCGUUGUCCUGAUUUCUUGGGCGUAAAGAGCGUGUAGGCGGCCAUACAGGUCAGCUGUGAAAACUCGAGGCUCAACCUCGAGACGUCGGUUGAAACCGUAUGGCUAGAGUCCGGAAGAGGAGAGUGGAAUUCCCGGUGUAGCGGUGAAAUGCGCAGAUAUCGGGAAGAACACCCAUGGCGAAGGCAGCUCUCUGGGACGGUACUGACGCUGAGACGCGAAAGCGUGGGGAGCGAACAGG